UUCUAACUAUUUAUAAAGGAAAGAAACGUGGACGCUUACAUCGCGAGAAGACGGCGGUCGCGUUCUCGUUCAACGUCCAGGGAUCGCCAUCGAAGAAGGGAAAGAAGACGAAGUGACGACAGCAGUCGCCAUCGACGUCACCGUUACUAUGACGACGAAUCAAGCCGCCGACGUCACAGAAGAAGCAACAGCAGUGUCAGCAGCUACAACAGUUUUGAAAGUUCUGACAGCAGCGACGAGGAAAAUACAAUUACUAACGCGACCCCAGCCACUUCCACAGCCCAUCGAGCACCAUCUUCGACGUCCAGUUCGACUUCACACGAUUCAGCAAGCGUGGGCGUUCAAGACGCUGGCAAUUCCCCAAUUCGUUGGUUGGAAACGGAAAAAUCUCCCCCAAAAGCGGGAGGCAAUAAAUUAGGCAAGAUCGAUAUCGCUGCUAGGAAAGGUUGGAUGCCAAGUCUUGGUCCUCAGAUGUUUGAUAUUGGUAGCCAAGAAAGAUUGGACAAGCAAGACACGCUACCAGGUUACGGCGAAACCGAUAUAUAACAAAAACUGCACAGUAGAGGUCCGUAUAUAAACAUGUCACUACACGACUACAGGGUGCUCGGAAAGCAACUGCGAACUUGCAUAUAGUACUGUGGGGGAAGAUGGGACACCUUUAGCACAUAAUACCCAAAUAUCCUGAUCGCAUUUCAAACAAUUAACAUCGGUCUAUGGGAGUCGUGAGGAUACGAUUUUAUAAUUAAUUGAAUGUUCUUUGUUAACUACCAAAUGGGACGAGAAAAUAGAAUUAAAAGAAAGUGACCCCCGUAAGCAUCAAUACAGGCUUGGACCCUUCUUAUUUUAUUUCUAAACACCUCAAUCA